AGAGUUUGAUCUGCUCAGAUGAACGCUGGCGGAAUGCUUUACACAUGCAAGUCGAACGGCAGCAUGGAGAGCUUGCUCUCUGAUGGCGAGUGGCGAACGGGUGAGUAAUAUAUCGGAACGUGCCUAGUAGUGGGGAACAACCCAGCCGAAAGGUUGGCUAAUACCGCAUACGACUACGGGUGAAAGCAGGGGAUCUUCGGACCUUGCGCUAUUAGAGCGGCCGAUAUCUGAUUAGGUAGUUGGUGGGGUAAAGGCCUACCAAGCCGACGAUCAGUAGCUGGUCUGAGAGGACGAUCAGCCACACUGGAACUGAGACACGGUCCAGACUCCUACGGGAGGCAGCAGUGGGGAAUUUUGGACAAUGGGGGAAACCCUGACCCAGCCAUUCCGCGUGAGUGAAGAAGGCCUUCGGGUUGUAAAGCUCUUUCGCAAGGGAAGAAAUUUUAUUGUCGAAUAAACAGUAAAGAUGACGGUACCUUGAGAAGAAGCACCGGCUAACUACGUGCCAGCAGCCGCGGUAAUACGUAGGGUGCGAGCGUUAAUCGGAAUUACUGGGCGUAAAGCGUGCGCAGGCGGUCUUAUAAGUCAGAUGUGAAAUCCCCGAGCUCAACUUGGGAACUGCGUUUGAAACUGUAAGACUAGAGUGUGUCAGAGGGAGGUAGAAUUCCACGUGUAGCAGUGAAAUGCGUAGAGAUGUGGAGGAAUACCAAUGGCGAAGGCAGCCUCCUGGGAUAACACUGACGCUCAUGCACGAAAGCGUGGGGAGCAAACAGGAUUAGAUACCCUGGUAGUCCACGCCCUAAACGAUGUCUACUAGUUGUUGGUGGAGUAAAAUCCAUGAGUAACGCAGCUAACGCGUGAAGUAGACCGCCUGGGGAGUACGGUCGCAAGAUUAAAACUCAAAGGAAUUGACGG
rnacentral:rRNA from 1 species